rnacentral:tRNA from 1 species
UCUAAGGUGGCUGAUGAUAGGCGUCGGUUUGUAGCUCCGGUUAUGUAGAUGGUUUCUGCCCUUUGAU